CAAAAAGAAGCCAGGUGCACAUUUUAAUUAAAAACACAUUUUUCCAAUUACAGUUGAAACCGUGAACCUAAAAUAAAAAGCGAAGCAAAUGUCGUGAGUUCAAGCAAGCUAAUUACAGUAAAUCAAAUGGAAAGUUACAAAAGAUAGAAUCAAAGCUUAAGGCUAACUUUAUAUGUUUGCUUAACGCCAGGCUGCAGCACUAGGGGGGUCGAUGGAUUCAUUUUUCUUUUAGCAUUCAGGUCUGGGCUGCUUCCUAAAAUUGACUUAAAGUUGCAUUCAUUGGGAAAUCGGGGUCCUUAAAAUCCGGAUCUGAGAAGGCAGAAAAGGAAAUAGGAAAAAAUUGCAUGUUUUCUCUUAAGGCACCUGUUUCCAUCCACUGAUAUUUUCAACAUUCAGCUCACCAUUGCUGGCUGUGGGUUCUGAACUGCCUCAGUUUCGGGCUUCAGGUUUAUCAUCCUUAGCAACAAGUCUACUUAUGUGUUCCCAAGAAAGCACGAGGCGCAGAGACUUAAAUUUUCACA
rnacentral:lncRNA from 1 species